UGGUUUUGACAUCUGGAAAAGUGAAAAAGGACUCUUUUCCCUAUUUGCAGAGUGGCUGCUGUACCCUCAGGCAAGCCUACAGCAUUUAAGGGCCACCAGAGAAUGCUCACAGCUGUCCUGGUCUCCAAGACUCUCCCAUGCCCACCUGCUCCACUGAUUCAGAUGCCUAAGUCAGAGCAGCGGUACCUUUGUAUUGGAUUCACUAUUGGGCUUCCCACACCCUUGAGGAAGAAACUUCUCUUGAAGGAGACCUGUGUGCCAGGGGCAAUCAGGAACAUUUGCUGAGCAUUUCUGAUGAAUCCGCAUUUUUGCUAAGCUCUCAGAAAUAAAAAAAUACAGCUGAAUGAAGAAGGCUCUACUUCCUGUUCCAGGAUUCUUACAGCUUGACUGGAAAAUGAGGGGGACUGGCUGCAGAAGGCCGCCGAGCUGGCCAGAAGCACAGUGCCCACGGUGUGGACAGCAGGAAGUGGUGCCUGUAGCAGCUCAAAACCUAUCCAUAAAGACAGAGUUUGGUCUCAUACAAGUGAAGAUUCCUGAUUUUUUUGUUUCUGAUAGCUCCACUUCUGGAUUUAUUAAAACUUUAAGAUGA
rnacentral:lncRNA from 1 species